CAUAUUGAUGGCAAUAAUAAUAGUGUUAUUGUUAGCUUGUUAGCUAGCUGAGGGGCUUGCGAAAUGGCGACAUGACGGAGUAAUAACGACGUUUUAUUACAUGUUUGUCACAAGGUUAUUACGAACGUUAAACUGAUUUUGAUGAUGGAGAACGGACACAGAUCUGAUGGUGCAUCCACUUCCAAAAACCACUCAGGAUCUCUACACCUACAGAUUCCAAAAAAUGAAGACAAUUACGAAAUCGCGAUUCCGCUGGAGGAAAGCAACUUUGAGCAGCAAGGAUUUUUCAACCAAAAUGACCAAAAUUUUGAAGAGUCACCGCCAUCUGCUGGCACCUCCCACGUGAACAGCUCUUACAUGGUGAUCACCAACCUUCGGACGCAGCUGCAGAUUUCUAUGGAGAAAAACUCCUGGCUUCAGAAACGAAUUGAGGACCUGGAAGAGGAGCGGGACUUCCUGCGGUGCCAGCUCGACUGCUUUAUUUCGUCUACAAAAAGCCAGCGACAAGAUCAAGGUUACGAGUCAAGACGAUUCAAUUGGAGGGAAAGACGAGAGGGUGAACGUUCUGCUGAGCAACAAAAACCAGACACGCCACGCUUACCCUCUCACCAGUUGAUCCAACGAAGGCCCCCUGUGACAUCAGCAGCUCCCUCCCAAAACCACGUCUCCAAUCCAAUGAACAACCAGAUGGCCUCCAUGAAUGCUCUGUUCACUCCGGCACAAUCCGCAGCCCUCCUGCAUGGCCUCAGCACUGCCAGUAAUUCAGCUGGUGGCAGCGGCAUUAACAGUUCUGCGAGACCGCUGAUGAAUGAGCAUCGAAACUUAAAUCCAGAUCCUCUUCCACUCAUGGGGGAAUCGGAUGAAUAUUUGGAAAAUGAUGGCUACCUAGAAGAGGAGGAAAUGAUGCCUGGAGAAGGUCCUGUGCAAGAUCCCAUUCACAGCAACAAACUAUUAUUGAAGAGAAGGAGACUAUUCAGAGGGAUCAGAGAGAGGCAAAGAGUAAAAGACCCUGCUGGAGUGCUUUUCCGCUAUAAGAAAAUCCUCCUCACAUACCAACGUGUCAAAAACAUGUCCAAGGCAUUCCAAAUCCAUGGCGUGGAUCGCAACACCGUGGCUUCUACCACACCUAUCGCAGAGCUCAUGCUUGCAGCCCCCGAGAAGGUGGCAGUGGUUGGAGAGUUUGACCCAUCCAAGGAGAAACUGCUGGAAUACGCUCGCCGCUGCUACAUGGCGCUGGAUGGGGAGAUUGUUAACAGGGUGCAAGCUCUGAAGAAAAACUACUUACUUCUGCCUAUCGCUUACAGGUUCAGACACACUGACAUAUGAAGCUGUUCAACAGCUAAAGUAGAUGAAAGAAAGUCUACAGGUACGGAGAAAUGAUUUAUUCUCAUAGGGGUUCAUUUACUUACUAAUGUAAUUUAGAAACAAAUUAAAAACGAAAAAAAACAUCGUCAUUCGGAUUUUUGUAAGUCAGACCAAAGGUUUGGUAUAAUCUUUUCUUCCCUUCAGACAUAGUUUGUGAUGCUGUUUAAAAAUUAAAUGUGACUUGUAAUGCCAUUUCAGUAAUUAGAUAAUGUUAGCUGCAUUUUCUUUACAAUGUAAAUCUAAUCACUUUGUAUUCACACCUUACAAUAAUACUGCAAUCUGCAAAAAUGUUUUCGUAAAGCCAUUACGUAAUUGUAAGCAAUGAGAACUUUACAUAUUGUCACUGUGUUUUGAGUCUACUUGAUGUUUUUGUCGUUCCUAUUUAAUUACUUGACUUUGCCUUAAUUAAAGUU